rnacentral:rRNA from 1 species
CCUACGGGUGGCAGCAGUGGGGAAUAUUGGACAAUGGGGGGAACCCUGAUCCAGCCAUGCCGCGUGUGUGAAGAAGGCCCUCGGGUUGUAAAGCACUUUCAGUGAGGAAGAACGCCUGGUGGUUAAUACCCAUCAGGAAAGACAUCACUCACAGAAGAAGCACCGGCUAACUCCGUGCCAGCAGCCGCGGUAAUACGGAGGGUGCGAGCGUUAAUCGGAAUUACUGGGCGUAAAGCGCGCGUAGGUGGCUUGAUAAGCCGGUUGUGAAAGCCCCGGGCUCAACCUGGGAACGGCAUCCGGAACUGUCAAGCUAGAGGGCAGGAGAGGAAGGUAGAAUUCCCGGUGUAGCGGUGAAAUGCGUAGAGAUCGGGAGGAAUACCAGUGGCGAAGGCGGCCUUCUGGACUGACACUGACACUGAGGUGCGAAAGCGUGGGUAGCAAACAGGAUUAGAUACCCUUGUAGUC